UCCCAACUUCGGUUAUAAGAUCCCUCAAAGAUGAUGAGGUUAAUAGGUUCGAGGUGGAAGCAUGGUGACAUGUGGAGCUGACGAAUACUAAUCGAUCGAAGACUUAAUCAAA
rnacentral:rRNA from 2 species